rnacentral:lncRNA from 10 species
ACGAGAAACCCCAGCUGAGAAGGCAAAUAUACUCAAGGAAAUUAAUAGUUUCCAAAUGCCUGGCAGUGCCAGGAAGAGGCCAUGUCCAUGGACCACUAUGUAAGGAUAUCUCAGUCUCUAGUCAAGCGUGGUUUAUGGUGCCAAAUAAGUGCCAGGUGAACUCACUACAUCUGACAAAAUCUCAAGGAACCAAGUUUACCAGAUAAUAUUUAUGAUUAUGUGAAAAAGACUGAGGAAAUCACUCAAGUGAUCCAUCAUACAGCACCUCCAGUUCCAAAGAAUACUGACUUACUUCAGCUGUACUGGUCUGGAGCUGCACAUUCUUUUCAGAGAAGUCUUGUUCCAUUAAGUUCAGGCGAGUUGAUACUUUCAAACUAU